AGAGACAGCAGUAGCCGCGGUAAUACGUAGGUGGCAAGCGUUGUCCGGAAUUAUUGGGCGUAAAGCGCGCGCAGGCGGAUCAGUUAGUCUGUCUUAAAAGUUCGGGGCUUAACCCCGUGAUGGGAUGGAAACUGCUGAUCUAGAGUAUCGGAGAGGAAAGUGGAAUUCCUAGUGUAGCGGUGAAAUGCGUAGAUAUUAGGAAGAACACCAGUGGCGAAGGCGACUUUCUGGACGAAAACUGACGCUGAGGCGCGAAAGCCAGGGGAGCGAACGGGAUUAGAUACCCCUGUAGUCCCUGUCUCUUAUACC
rnacentral:rRNA from 1 species